GACGAACGCUGGCGGCGUGCCUAAUACAUGCAAGUCGAGCGGACGGAUGGGAGCUUGCUCCCAGACCGUCAGCGGCGGACGGGUGAGUAACACGUGGGCAACCUGCCUGUAAGACUGGGAUAACUCCGGGAAACCGGGGCUAAUACCGGAUAACUCUUUCCCUCACAUGAGGGAAAGCUGAAAGAUGGCAUCUCGCUAUCACUUACAGAUGGGCCCGCGGCGCAUUAGCUAGUUGGUGAGGUAACGGCUCACCAAGGCGACGAUGCGUAGCCGACCUGAGAGGGUGAUCGGCCACACUGGGACUGAGACACGGCCCAGACUCCUACGGGAGGCAGCAGUAGGGAAUCUUCCGCAAAGGACGAAAGUCUGACGGAGCAACGCCGCGUGAGUGAUGAAGGUUUUCGGAUCGUAAAACUCUGUUGUCAGGGAAGAACAAGUACCGGAGUAACUGCCGGUACCUCGACGGUACCUGACCAGAAAGCCACGGCUAACUACGUG
rnacentral:rRNA from 1 species